rnacentral:rRNA from 1 species
AUUGAACGCUGGCGGCAUGCUUUACACAUGCAAGUCGAACGGUAACAGGUUAAGCUGACGAGUGGCGAACGGGUGAGUAAUGCAUCGGAACGUGCCCGGUCGUGGGGGAUAACACUUCGAAAGAAGUGCUAAUACCGCAUACGAUCUGAGGAUGAAAGCGGGGGACCGUAAGGCCUCGCGCGAUCGGAGCGGCCGAUGUCAGAUUAGGUAGUUGGUGGGGUAAGGGCUCACCAAGCCGACGAUCUGUAGCUGGUCUGAGAGGACGACCAGCCACACUGGGACUGAGACACGGCCCAGACUCCUACGGGAGGCAGCAGUGGGGAAUUUUGGACGAUGGGCGCAAGCCUGAUUCAGCAAUGCCGCGUGCAGGAAGAAGGCCUUCGGGUUGUAAACUGCUUUUGUACGGAGCGAAAAGGCUCUCUCUAAUACAGGGGGCUCAUGACGGUACCGUAAGAAUAAGCACCGGCUAACUACGUGCCAGCAGCCGCCGUAA